rnacentral:misc_RNA from 1 species
CCAAACUUGGUCAUUUAGAGGAAGUAAAAGUCGUAACAAGGUUUCCGUAGGUGAACCUGCGGAAGGAUCAUUAUUGAAUAACGAGGACUCAUUUAUGGGCCUCACUUUCAUUACCACACACUGUGCACUGUUGACGAACGCCUUUCUUCAUUGAUUGGUUACUAGUCUUUUUUUUUAACAAACCCAAGUCAAUGAAUGUGAAAUGUAUAACAAAUAAAACUUUAAACAACGGAUCUCUUGGUUCCCGCAUCGAUGAAGAACGCAGC